UCCCUGGUGGUCCAGUGUUAAGACUCCAGACUCCCAAGUCAGGAGGCCCAGGUUUGAUCCCUGGUCAUGGAA
rnacentral:tRNA from 1 species